rnacentral:miRNA from 1 species
AACCCGUAGAUCCGAACUUUCG